rnacentral:rRNA from 1 species
UACGGAGGGUGCAAGCGUUACCCGGAAUCACUGGGCGUAAAGGGCGUGUAGGCGGCCUUUCAAGUCCGGCUUUAAAGACCGAGGCUCAACCUCGGGAGUGGGCUGGAUACUGGAUGGCUUGACGACUGGAGGGGCGGGUGGAAUUCUCGGUGUAGCGGUGGAAUGCGUAGAUACCGAGAGGAACACCAGUGGCGAAGGCGGCCCGCUGGACAGUGCGUGACGCUGAGGCGCGAAAGUGUGGGGAGCGAACCGG